rnacentral:rRNA from 1 species
GCACACCUACGGGAGGCAGCAGUGGGGGAUAUUGCACAAUGGGGGGAACCCUGAUGCAGCGACGCCGCGUGGGUGAAGGAGCGUUUCGGUGCGUAAAGCCCUAUCGGCAGGGAAGAAGGAGGACGGUACCUGACUAAGAAGCCCCGGCUAACUACGUGCCAGCAGCCGCGGUAAUACGUAGGGGGCAAGCGUUAUCCGGAUUUACUGGGUGUAAAGGGGGCGCAGACGGCAGCGCAAGCCAGGAGUGAAAGCCCGGGGCCCAACCCCGGGACGGCUCUUGGAACGGCCGGGCUGGAGUG